AAGCAACACUCUGUGGCAGAUGAUCAAAACUGUCUGACACAACUUGAGCUUGCUGUAGCAAGAAAGUUUAACCUAUUCCAGUGUUCUCUCCUCCCUGAGACAAGCUGUUAUAUAGACUUAAACAAU
rnacentral:snoRNA from 1 species